rnacentral:rRNA from 1 species
UUACCGAAGCUGUGGAUUGUCCUUUGGACAAUGGUAGGAGAGCGUUCUAAGGGCGUUGAAGCAUGAUCGUAAGGACAUGUGGAGCGCUUAGAAGUGAGAAUGCCGGUGUGAGUAGCGAAAGACGGGUGAGAAUCCCGUCCACCGAUUGACUAAGGUUUCCAGAGGAAGGCUCGUCCGCUCUGGGUUAGUCGGGUCCUAAGCUGAGGCCGACAGGCGUAGGCGAUGGAUAACAGGUUGAUAUUCCUGUACCACCUAUAAUCGUUUUAAUCGAUGGGGGGACGCAGUAGGAUAGGCGAAGCGUGCGAUUGGAUUGCACGUCUAAGCAGUAAGGCUGGGUAUUAGGCAAAUCCGGUACUCGUUAAGGCUGAGCUGUGAUGGGGAGAAGACAUUGUGUCUUCGAGUCGUUGAUUUCACACUGCCGAGAAAAGCCUCUAGAUAGAAAAUAGGUGCCCGUACCGCAAACCGACACAGGUAGUCAAGAUGAGAAUUCUAAGGUGAGCGAGCGAACUCUCGUUAAGGAACUCGGCAAAAUGACCCCGUAACUUCGGGAGAAGGGGUGCUCUUUAGGGUUAACGCCCAGAAGAGCCGCAGUGAAUAGGCCCAAGCGACUGUUUAUCAAAAACACAGGUCUCUGCUAAACCGUAAGGUGAUGUAUAGGGGCUGACGCCUGCCCGGUGCUGGAAGGUUAAGAGGAGUGGUUAGCUUCUGCGAAGCUACGAAUCGAAGCCCCAGUAAACGGCGGCCGUAACUAUAACGGUCCUAAGGUAGCGAAAUUCCUUGUCGGGUAAGUUCCGACCCGCACGAAAGGCGUAACGAUUUGGGCACUGUCUCAACGAGAGACUCGGUGAAAUCAUAGUACCUGUGAAGAUGCAGGUUACCCGCGACAGGACGGAAAGACCCCGUGGAGCUUUACUGUAGCCUGAUAUUGAAAUUCGGCACAGCUUGUACAGGAUAGGUAGGAGCCUUUGAAACGUGAGCGCUAGCUUACGUGGAGGCGCUGGUGGGAUACUACCCUAGCUGUGUUGGCUUUCUAACCCGCACCACUUAUCGUGGUGGGAGACAGUGUCAGGCGGGCAGUUUGACUGGGGCGGUCGCCUCCUAAAAGGUAACGGAGGCGCUCAAAGGUUCCCUCAGAAUGGUUGGAAAUCAUUCAUAGAGUGUAAAGGCAUAAGGGAGCUUGACUGCGAGACCUACAAGUCGAGCAGGGUCGAAAGACGGACUUAGUGAUCCGGUGGUUCCGCAUGGAAGGGCCAUCGCUCAACGGAUAAAAGCUACCCCGGGGAUAACAGGCUUAUCUCCCCCAAGAGUUCACAUCGACGGGGAGGUUUGGCACCUCGAUGUCGGCUCAUCGCAUCCUGGGGCUGUAGUCGGUCCCAAGGGUUGGGCUGUUCGCCCAUUAAAGCGGUACGCGAGCUGGGUUCAGAACGUCGUGAGACAGUUCGGUCCCUAUCCGUCGUGGGCGUAGGAAAUUUGAGAGGAGCUGUCCUUAGUACGAGAGGACCGGGAUGGACAUACCUCUGGUGUACCAGUUGUCGUGCCAACGGCAUAGCUGGGUAGCUAUGUGUGGACGGGAUAAGUGCUGAAAGCAUCUAAGCAUGAAGCCCCCCUCAAGAUGAGAUUUCCCAACUUCGGUUAUAAGAUCCCUCAAAGAUGAUGAGGUUAAUAGGUUCGAGGUGGAAGCAUGGUGACAUGUGGAGCUGACGAAUACUAAUCGAUCGAAGACUUAAUCAA